AAACGACUCUCGGCAACGGAUAUCUCGGCUCUCGCAUCGAUGAAGAACGUAGCGAAAUACGAUACUUGGUGUGAAUUGCAGAAUCCCGUGAAUCAUCGAGUCUUUGAACGCAAGUUGCGCCCGAAGCCUUUUGGCCGAGGGCACGUCUGCCUGGGUGUCACGC
rnacentral:rRNA from 1 species